rfam:Thelazia callipaeda genome assembly, scaffold: TCLT_contig0001104
GUCUACGACCAUCCCACGUUGAAAGCACGACAUCUCGUCCGACCUGUCAAGUAAAGCAACGUUGGGCCUGGUUAGUACUUGGAUCGGAGACGGCCUGGGAAUCCCAGGUGUUGUAGACA